CCCCCCGGUUAGGUGAAACUGCGGACCGGAUCUCUACCGAUAGAGGGCGCCUCGCGCGCCCGACCUCCCAACCCUUUGUCGACCGUACUGCGUUGCCUCUGGGUGCCGGCGCCCGCGUCGCCCCAAGAGGACCCAACCGAAACCCUGCGUCUUUGCGUCGGAGUCACUUUGAUAAAUCAAUCAAAAUUUUCAACAAGGGAUCUCUUGGUUCAGGCAUCGAUGAAGAACGCAGCGAAAUGCGAUAAGUAAUGUGAAUUGCAGAAUUCAGUGAAUCAUCGAAUCUUUGAACGCACAUUGCGCCCUCUGGUAUUCCGGGGGGCAUGCCCGUUCGAGCGUCAUUUCACCACUCAAGCCUGGCUUGGUAGGGAGCGGCGGGUUCGAGCGUCAUUUCACCAAUCAAGCCUGGCUUGGUAUUGGGCACCGGGGGCGACCCGGGCCCGAAAGUCGCCGGCUGGAAAGCUCUGAUCUCAGCGUCGUGGUUUUACAAACUCGCUGGCGAGAGGGGCGGUCUGUGCCGUGAAAUCUUUUUAAGGUUGACCUCGGAUCGGGUAGGAAUACCCGCUGAACUUAAGCAUAUCAUAAAGCCGGAGGGAACGGCUCUGAACGGGGAGGGGACAAAUCAAGCAGCAUACCAUCGAGGGUAUUAGCUGAAGAGCCCAAUAUAACUAUAACUACAGGUGGAAGA
rnacentral:rRNA from 1 species